UACGAAGGGGGCGAGCGUUGUUCGGAUUUACUGGGCGUAAAGGGCGCGCAGGCGGCACAUUUUGUCAGGCGUGAAAGCCCCGGGCUUAACCUGGGAACUGCGUUUGAUACGGAUGGGCUAGAGUUCGGGAGAGGAGAGUGGAAUUCCCAGUGUAGAGGUGAAAUUCGUAGAUAUUGGGAAGAACACCGGUGGCGAAGGCGGCUCUCUGGGACGGUACUGACGCGUGAGACGGCGAAAGCGUGGGGAGCGAACAGG
rnacentral:rRNA from 1 species